UACAGAGGUCUCAAGCGUUAAUCGGAAUUACUGGGCUUAAAGGGUCCGCAGGCGGUCUGACAAGUACCUUGUGAAAUAUCAGGUCUCAACCCUGAAACUGCUCGGUAGACUGUCAGACUUGAGUGCAAAAGGGGUCGCUGGAACUCUAGGUGGAGCGGUGAAAUGCGUAGAUAUCUGGAGGAACACCGGUGGCGAAGGCGGCAUCCUGGACCAACACUGACACUGAGGAGCGAAAGCCAGGGGAGCAAACGGG
rnacentral:rRNA from 1 species